AAACUGCCCAAAGGAAGCGCUGGCGAGCCUGGCAGCUUGCACGCAGGUAGGUUCCAUACUGUGUUAACUGCAAGAGUGUCCACUCUUCAGCUUGGCUGUCAUUUGGUGGGUCAGACUGAGCACGUCAGUCAGCGACAACAACUGAAUGAGCCAUCUCAAGAAGAUGAGAUGACAUGGCGAAGACAUGAAGACAUGAACAUGAACACUUGCUGAGCAGAGACUGUACAUAGAUGGUUUAAAGACUUUUAUUCAUUAUGAUAAUUGAAACUGUACUUUCACUUCUUAUUUGGCAUGUUGCUCAACAUGAGAAUUGGUGUGCUCUGCAUUAAUCAUAUUGUGAUGAUCAGGCGAGAAGUGAGGUUAUGUAUUCACAUAGCACAGGGUACAGAAAUAAAGAGUAGGUCUUCUCUGAUGUUACAGUAUCUAUGCAGAAGUACAUUCCUUGCAGCUCAGGAGUCUCUUUCAAAUGCUUACUCACCUGUAAUAAGACUGGCCAUAAGUGAUAAUUCUCAGUUAAUAACAAUGUUGUUGUCACUGUUCCACAGACAAGUCAGAACAGCAAGGCAGUCUGUUUCCUUUUUGGCUGCAGUGAUUGUGUUGCAUUCGCUUUUUGUGUGUCUGCAUAUGUAUGUCAUUCAUUCCUUCCUGGCCUCUGAGUAGGCAUUGGGCAAUUUUGUCUAAAUUUGACUGUGGUGGGACAGAGACCACAGAGCUAUUAAGUUCCUGCAUAUUUCAUGAAGAUGGACAUCCAUAUAAAUGGGAAAUCAUCCAUGGAAAGAAAGGUUCACCCUUUAUUAAACAUGAGAGAAUCCACAGAAAAGAGACAUGUCAGAUAUCUGGUCUUGUCCUACUGCUUACACAGCUUCUGAUUAUAAGAUCUUGAACAGAGUUCCAGGCAGGACUGGGUGUCAGGGAACAUCUUGCUUCGGAGAAGACCUGCUGGAGGGGAGAGAGCUUACACUUGCUGACAGAGCUUUAUGACUAGAAGUGUCUAAAUAUUCCUGAGAGUUUCCUAAAGUCGAGGUACACAGGCUAGUAGUCGUAAAGCUGUAUUAAUCCCUAGGUGGAAUAAUAUAUUUCCAUACGUGGUGCAUCUGAAUGAUUUUUCAGGAGUGUUCCAACAAAUGAGCCUCUUCCUUGGUCCAUGUGAAUUUACAGAAAAAUCAUUUAUAUAUAUAGUU